GACGAACGCUGGCGGCGUGCUUAACACAUGCAAGUCGAACGGUGAAGCGCCUUCCUUUUUGGUGGGUGUGGAUGAGUGGCGAACGGGUGAGUAACCGGGGAGUACCCUGCCCCUUCCUUCUGAAUAACGGCUUGAAGGGUUGGUUAUUCGGGGAUAUCUUGGGCUUGUCGCUUGUGGGGUUUGGGAAGGUUUUGGUUUCGGUGGGGGAGGGCUCGGGGCCUUUUAGCUUGUUGGUGGGGGGAUGGCCUACCAAGGCGGUGACGGGUAGCCGGCCUGAGAGGGUGGACGGUCACACUGGGACUGAGACACGGCCCAGACUCCUACGGGAGGCAGCAGUGGGGAAUAUUGCGCAAUGGGCGCAAGCCUGAUGCAGCGACGCCGCGUGAGGGAUGGAGGCCUUCGGGUUGUGAACCUCUUUCGCCAGUGAAGCAGGCCUGCCUCGUUUGUGGGUGGGUUGACGGUAGCUGGAUAAGAAGCGCCGGCUAACUACGU
rnacentral:rRNA from 1 species